rnacentral:misc_RNA from 1 species
AAGUCGUAACAAGGUUUCCGUAGGUGAACCUGCGGAAGGAUCAUUAAAGAGUAUUGAGGUUAUUAUUUAUCCCUGGAUAAACCAAUGCCUCUUUCCUUUUCACCCAAUAUAUAUUUCUAUUACAGUUGCUUUGGUAGUUACUAUUUUUGUAAUUACCAAGGGAAUUUCUUAAAACCCUUUGUUAUCCAAUAAUUGGUUCCUUAUAGUCUGAUUUUUAAUGCUUUAAUAGUAUUUAAAACUUUCAACAAUGGAUCUCUUGGUUCUG